rnacentral:RNase_P_RNA from 1 species
CUGGAAGGGCGGAGGAUCGCUUUCGUUUUAAUACGAGAGAGGAAAGUCCGAACACCAUAGGACGCGAUGCCGUGUAACCCUGAUUUAGUUGGGGAUACAUGCGGGCAGUUCAUUCGAGAGGAUGGCUGACGGAAAGUGCCACAGAGAAUAUACCGCCACAGGUUCGCCUGCGGUAAGGGUGAAAAGGUGGGGUAAGAGCCCACCGCGCCAAACGUGAGUGAGGCGGCACGGUAAACCCCAUCGG